CCGCGCGAGAGACCCGUCUCAAUGGCCUCUAUGGGCACGGUGCGCGCAGCGUCGGGUCUGUCGAGGAGCCACUCCACGACGUCGACGCGUCCGGCGACGGUGGCGCCCCAUGCCGCACAUCCGGUGUACCAGGCGCGCACAGGCUCAAUCCUCUGGCGUACGUUGGGGUCGGCCACGGGCUCGCCGGCCGCCCAGCGGAGGAUAUCCAGGUGGCCGUGCUUGCCCGCCUCGACUAGAAUGUUAUCGAUCCCCAAGUCAUAGUCCGGGUCAGAAUCGCAGUCCGAGCCAGAGUCACAAUUCGGGUCAGAGUCUUGGUGGCGUUCUAGGUGCCAGUCGUAAACCAGGGGCACGACGGCGGUGGCGCCCAGUCGUGUCGCGAGCAGCAGGCUAUACAGGUCAAAGUCAUAUUCGACGCCGUGCGUCUCAGCGCCAUCCAGCAGCCAACGGGCAAUACCGGAAUGGCCCGCCUCGACGGCCUCUCUGAGCGAGGCCUUUGUGGGCCGGUACGCACCGUCGCAUCCGCAACGGUCGAGCCACUCGAUGGCCUCGGGGCGGUCGGCCUUGAAGGCACUUUGGCCCACGAGGGGCGUGCACCCGCAGCGCGCACCUGGCGCCUUGUGUGGCAAAGUGCCGUCGACGAUGCGCCGGUGGAUCACGUCCAUCACCGACAAGUGACCGCUCUGUGCCGCGCGCGACAUGCACUCGACGCCGAGACCCACCGGCGGCGGCGUCAGCGACGCUAUGGCCCCAAAAUCCAACAGGCGCUCGACCAUGUCGGCACGUCCGCGGUCGAUGGCCUCAAAGAGCGCGUGGAUCCCCGUCGCCGGGUGGCCUCUGCGGUCUUUUUCAUCGUCAUAUUCCCAAUGGACAAGGCCAGAGGCGAACGACCAGCAGCGGACGAGGCCGGCAUCGGGGAGCAGGCUGCGGGUACAGAAUGGAGGCCUUGUGGGGCUGGCGCAAAAGCGAGCGAGAACGUCGAGCCUGCCGCCGCGCACCGCGGGCAACAGGAGCGCCUCGGUGGCCGGCAAAUGUCCGCGCACGGCCUCGACGAUGGCGAGCGGCGCGCCGCAUUCGAGCGCGUCGAUGACCUUGCCGUUGAACAAGCGUACGGCCGCCGAGUCGAUCCGCAUGGGUUGAAAGAGGGACGAGGCGGCCCGACACGCAGCGAUGUCGGCCACCCUCGGCAGAAAGGACGCGAUGUGGUCCACCAGUUCGGGCGGCAGCCGAGCCAGACCGACGUCGCACUCGGCCUCUUGCAUUUUUUUUCGUCUUUUUCUUCCUCUUUCUAACCAACAGAGUCUCCAAAGUAAAAGGGAGAACCAAAGAAAGAUUCGAGAGACAGCAACAAAGGGAUGGCAAAAGGACAAGUUGGGGAUCGAAAAAAAGAGCGCGAAAGGCUAAAGGCCCGACAAGACAAAAAAAAGAGCGUGUCCAAUGGCAAGACAGGCGGCGGAGCGGAAAAAAAGGGCGCCGACGCAGCGCGCUACCGGGCGGCGUGGUCGCGCGGUGGCUUGGGAUUUGAGUAGGAAUACACGAAAUACGCAAAACUUUCGAAUUCCUUAAAAUCGGCACAGCGAGAACAGGACAAAACAAAACAUUUAAAAGUUUUGUGUACAACGUGUAUUCCUACGCAAAUCCUUUGAGGGUGCACACAGAAAGAAAAAAAGGCCUGUCUUGGCGCCGCGCGCAAUUCAUCGGCGGGAGGUCUUUGGCGUGAUCCCGGCGGCGCAACCGCACAGAGGAAAAAGGGAACCACCCGAAAAGACGGCCUC
rnacentral:lncRNA from 1 species